rnacentral:rRNA from 1 species
AUUGAACGCUGGCGGCAUGCUUUACACAUGCAAGUCGGACGGCAGCGCGGGCUUCGGCCUGGCGGCGAGUGGCGAACGGGUGAGUAAUACAUCGGAACGUGCCCAGUAGGGGGGGAUAGCUCGGCGAAAGCCGGAUUAAUACCGCAUACGACCUGAGGGUGAAAGCGGGGGACUUUAGGGCCUCGCGCUAUUGGAGCGGCCGAUGGCAGAUUAGCUAGUUGGUGGGGUAAAGGCCUACCAAGGCGACGAUCUGUAGCUGGUCUGAGAGGACGACCAGCCACACUGGGACUGAGACACGGCCCAGACUCCUACGGGAGGCAGCAGUGGGGAAUUUUGGACAAUGGGCGCAAGCCUGAUCCAGCAAUGCCGCGUGUGUGAUGAAGGCCUUCGGGUUGUAAAGCACUUUUGGCAGGAACGAAAAGUGCCGUGCUAAUACCACGGUACGAUGACGGUACCUGCAGAAUAAGCACCGGCUAGCUACGUG